UAUGUGGCUAGGGAGCGCACCCGAAAAGCAGAAAGCCUACUGCCUGCCACAAAUUUCAAUAGGCG
rnacentral:sRNA from 1 species